GACGAACGCUGGCGGCGUGCUUAACACAUGCAAGUCGAACGGAAAGGCCCUGCUUUUGUGGGGUGCUCGAGUGGCGAACGGGUGAGUAACACGUGAGUAACCUGCCCUUGACUUUGGGAUAACUUCAGGAAACUGGGGCUAAUACCGGAUAGUAGCUCCUGCUGCAUGGUGGGGGUUGGAAAGUUUCGGAGGUUGGGGAUGGACUCGCGGCUUAUCAGCUUGUUGGUGGGGUAGUGGCUUACCAAGGCUUUGACGGGUAGCCGGCCUGAGAGGGUGACCGGCCACAUUGGGACUGAGAUACGGCCCAGACUCCUACGGGAGGCAGCAGUGGAGAAUAUUGCACAAUAGGCGGAAGCCUGAUGCAGCAACGCCGCGUGCGGGAUGACGGCCUUCGGGUUGUAAACCGCUUUCGCCUGUGACGAAGCGUGAGUGACGGUAAUGGGUAAAGAAGCACCGGCUAACUACGUG
rnacentral:rRNA from 1 species